AGGAGGAACAACCCCAGUGGCAGCUGCAGCUCUGGAGCCCUGAUUCAGCUCCCACAGUAACUCCGGAGCUCUCGGUCUGCAGGGCCUGGAGGCUCCGGGGCGGG
rnacentral:pre_miRNA from 1 species